GCUCUCGUAGUUCAACGGAUAGAACAAGGGUUUCCUAAACCCUAGAUCCAAGUUCGACUCUUGGCGAGAGCACAA
rnacentral:tRNA from 1 species